CUGGGCUUGACAUGUUAGUGGUAGGAAACUGAAAGGGGACCGACCUGUAGCAAUACAGGAGCUAAUACAGGUGCUGCAUGGCUGUCGUCAGCUCGUGCCGUGAGGCGUUGGGUUAAGUCCCGCAACGAGCGCAACCCUUAUCCUAUGUUACCUCGCAAGAGGGUCUCUUAGGAAACUGCCGGCGAUGAGCUGGAGGAAGGUGGGGACGACGUCAAGUCAUCAUGGCCCUUAUGUCCAGGGCUACACACGUGCUACAAUGGCUACUACAGAGGGAUGCAAGACCGCGAGGUGGAGCCAAUCCCUAAAAGUAGUCGUAGUUGGGAUCGGAGUCUGCAACUCGACUCCGUGAACCUGGAAUCGCUAGUAAUCGCGGAUCAGAACGCCGCGGUGAAUACGUUCCC
rnacentral:rRNA from 1 species